UACGUAGGGACCAAGCGUUGUUCGGAUUUACUGGGCGUAAAGGGCGCGUAGGCGGUCAGCACAAGUCAGUUGUGAAAUCUCCGGGCUUAACUCGGAAAGGUCAACUGAUACUGUGCGACUAGAGUGCGGAAGGGGCAACUGGAAUUCUUGGUGUAGCGGUGAAAUGCGCAGAUAAUCAGGAGGAACACCGGUGGCGAAGGCGGGUCUCUGGGCCGAUGACUGACGUGAGGAGCGAAAGCGUGGGGAGCGAACAGG
rnacentral:rRNA from 1 species